UACGAAGGGGGGCGAGCGUUGUUCGGAUUUACUGGGCGUAAAGGGCGCGCAGGCGGCUCAUUUUUGUCAGGCGUGAAAGCCCCCGGGCUUAACCUGGGAACUGCGCUUGUAACUGGCAAGCUGGAGUGUGGGCAGAGGGGGGGUGGAAUUCCACGUGUAGCAGUGAAAUGCGUAGAGAUGUGGAGGAACACCGAUGGCGAAGGCAGCCCCCCUGGGCUAACACUGACGCUCAUGCACGAAAGCGUGGGGAGCAAACAGG
rnacentral:rRNA from 1 species